rnacentral:rRNA from 1 species
AUCAUUAGGGAUAUUGCCUUGAGACCGAGGCAUUAUUUUUAUUUAUGUUUAUGACAAUGUGUGAAUUGAAAAGUUACCCAAUUUUUUAUGAUGCGUAUAUUGUAUGAGAAUGAGUUGUUAUUUUUGAAAAUGUGAUAAAACUUUCAGUGACGGAUCUCUUGGUUCUCGCAUCGAUGAAGAACGCAGCGAACUGCGAUACGUAGUGUGAAUUGCAGAUAUCAGUGAAUCAUCGAAUCUUUGAACGCAUCUCGCGCUCUGAGGAAUUCUUCAGAGCAUGCCUGUUUGAGUGUCGUGUAAAUUCUCAACAGCAACUUUUAUUCGAGCUGAUUGAAAUGAGUUGUUGGUGGAUCGUGGCUGUUGCCGGUGCGGUAUAUAUGUAUGCGCCUGGCACAGCUGAAAUGUAGGAGCGGCGUUCUGUGGUGUUGACCGCAGCAGAGCAAACGCACUUUGUCCGUUUGAAAUGUCGGCGUGAUAAGGAAGUUGCGCAGAUGUUGAGGACUAGUGUAGAAAAAGCACUGAGUCGCUUAGAGAAUGCUAAAUCUUUUAACAAAGGACCUCAAAUCAGGUAGGACUACCCGCUGAACUUAAGCAUAUCAAUAAGCGGAGGA